UACGGGGGGAGCAAGCGUUGUUCGGAUUUACUGGGCGUAAAGGGCGCGUAGGCGGCCAGCACAAGUCAGUUGUGAAAUCUCCGAGCUUAACUCGGAAAGGUCAACUGAUACUGUGCGGCUAGAGUGCGGAAGGGGCAACUGGAAUUCUUGGUGUAGCGGUGAAAUGCGUAGAUAUCAAGAGGAACACCUGCGGCGAAGGCGGGUUGCUGGGCCGACACUGACGCUUAGGCGCGAAAGCCAGGGGAGCGAACGGG
rnacentral:rRNA from 1 species